rnacentral:rRNA from 1 species
GCGAUAAGCGCCGGUAAGGUGAUAUGAACCGUUAUAACCGGCGAUACCCGAAUGGGGAAACCCAGUGUGAUUCGUCACACUAUCAUUAACUGAAUCCAUAGGUUAAUGAGGCGAACCGGGGGAACUGAAACAUCUAAGUACCCCGAGGAAAAGAAAUCAACCGAGAUUCCCCCAGUAGCGGCGAGCGAACGGGGAGGAGCCCAGAGCCUGAAUCAGCAUGUGUGUUAGUGGAAGCGUCUGGAAAGGCGCGCGAUACAGGGUGACAGCCCCGUACACAAAAGCGCAUGUGCUGUGAGCUCGAUGAGUAGGGCGGGACACGUGGUAUCCUGUCUGAAUAUGGGGGGACCAUCCUCCAAGGCUAAAUACUCCUGACUGACCGAUAGUGAACCAGUACCGUGAGGGAAAGGCGAAAAGAACCCCGGCGAGGGGAGUGAAAAAGAACCUGAAACCGUGUACGUACAAGCAGUGGGAGCCCCACCACUAAGCCAGUGGUGAACUCCACAUACGCAUCCUUUGCUGAGGAUACGGUUAACGGAGCGAAAGCGACGUUCAACCGCAAAAGAAGCAGAGGGGGCUUAGUGGUGGGGUGACUGCGUACCUUUUGUAUAAUGGGUCAGCGACUUAUAUUCUGUAGCAAGGUUAACCGAAUAGGGGAGCCGGAGGGAAACCGAGUCUUAAUUGGGCGUUAAGUUGCAGGGUAUAGACCCGAAACCCGGUGAUCUAGCCAUGGGCAGGUUGAAGGUUGGGUAACACUAACUGGAGGACCGAACCGACUAAUGUUGAAAAAUUAGCGGAUGACCUGUGGCUGGGGGUGAAAGGCCAAUCAAACCGGGAGAUAGCUGGUUCUCCCCGAAAGCUAUUUAGGUAGCGCCUCGUGAAUUCAUCUCCGGGGGUAGAGCACUGUUUCGGCUAGGGGGCCAUCCCGGCUUACCAACCCGAUGCAAACUGCGAAUACCGGAGAAUGUUAUCACGGGAGACACACGGCGGGUGCUAACGUCCGUCGUGAAGAGGGAAACAACCCAGACCGCCAGCUAAGGUCCCAAAGUCAUGGUUAAGUGGGAAACGAUGUGGGAAGGCCCAGACAGCCAGGAUGUUGGCUUAGAAGCAGCCAUCAUUUAAAGAAAGCGUAAUAGCUCACUGGUCGAGUCGGCCUGCGCGGAAGAUGUAACGGGGCUAAACCAUGCACCGAAGCUGCGGCAGCGACACUGUGUGU